UUAGCCGAGCGCAGGCUACACAUUGCAGUUCGAACGGUAGCACAGAGAGCUUGCUCUCGGGUGACGAGUGGCGGACGGGUGAGUAAUGUCUGGGAAACUGCCCGAUGGAGGGGGAUAACUACUGGAAACGGUAGCUAAUACCGCAUAAUGUCGCAAGACCAAAGAGGGGGACCUUCGGGCCUCUUGCCAUCGGAUGUGCCCAGAUGGGAUUAGCUUGUAGGUGGGGUAACGGCUCACCUAGGCGACGAUCCCUAGCUGGUCUGAGAGGAUGACCAGCCACACUGGAACUGAGACACGGUCCAGACUCCUACGGGAGGCAGCAGUGGGGAAUAUUGCACAAUGGGCGCAAGCCUGAUGCAGCCAUGCCGCGUGUAUGAAGAAGGCCUUCGGGUUGUAAAGUACUUUCAGCGAGGAGGAAGGUGUUGUGGUUAAUAACCGCAGCAAUUGACGUUACUCGCAGAAGAAGCACCGGCUAACUCCGUGCCAGCAGCCGCGGUAAUACGGAGGGUGCAAGCGUUAAUCGGAAUUACUGGGCGUAAAGCGCACGCAGGCGGUCUGUCAAGUCGGAUGUGAAAUCCCCGGGCUCAACCUGGGAACUGCAUCCGAAACUGGCAGGCUAGAGUCUUGUAGAGGGGGGUAGAAUUCCAGGUGUAGCGGUGAAAUGCGUAGAGAUCUGGAGGAAUACCGGUGGCGAAGGCGGCCCCCUGGACAAAGACUGACGCUCAGGUGCGAAAGCGUGUGGAGCAAACAGGAUUAGAUACCCUGGUAGUCCACGCCGUAACGAUGUCGACUUGGAGGUUGUGCCCUUGAGGCGUGGCUUCCGGAGCUAACGCGUUAAGUCGACCGCCUGGGGAGUACGGCCGCAAGGUUAAAACUCAAAUGAAUUGACGGGGGCCCGCACAAGCGGUGGAGCAUGUGGUUUAAUUCGAUGCAACGCGAAGAACCUUACCUACUCUUGACAUCCAGAGAACUUAGCAGAGAUGCUUUGGUGCCUUCGGGAACUCUGAGACAGGUGCUGCAUGGCUGUCGUCAGCUUGUGUUGUGAAAUGUUGGGUUAAGUCCCGCAACGAGCGCAACCCUUAUCCUUUGUUGCCAGCGGUUCGGCCGGGAACUCAAAGGAGACUGCCAGUGAUAAACUGGAGGAAGGUGGGGAUGACGUCAAGUCAUCAUGGCCCUUACGAGUAGGGCUACACACGUGCUACAAUGGCAUAUACAAAGAGAAGCGACCUCGCGAGAGCAAGCGGACCUCAUAAAGUAUGUCGUAGUCCGGAUUGGAGUCUGCAACUCGACUCCAUGAAGUCGGAAUCGCUAGUAAUCGUGGAUCAGAAUGCCACGGUGAAUACGUUCCCGGGCCUUGUACACACCGCCCGUCACACCAUGGGAGUGGGUUGCAAAAGAAAGUAGGUAGCUUAACCUUCGGGAGGGCGCUAACCAACUUUGUAUCUCGAAA
rnacentral:rRNA from 1 species